AAAUCCGACAAUGUUUUGAAGCCAGUUAGAGUUGGCUGCUUCGGAUCUGACACCACUUCCUCCCUCGCUGAGGCUUUGAGGGGAGAAAGAGAAAUGAGAAGAGGAAGCAACUCACACUCCUGGAUCUGCACACAGAGGGAGAAGAGGAGCAGGGUGACUGAUGGCUUUCCUUUGCCCCCUUUCCUCCCCCACUUGGUUAAUUUAUGGAAGGCCUUGUGCAGGCACACACACAAAAAAGUUGACCUCUAAAAGCAAGCCACACUGCUACAGCUGCAAUCCUACCCACUCUUACUCAGGAGGAAGCCCACUGAAUUAAAUCAUUUACUUCUGAGUAACCCCAGCAAGCCUCAAAACUCAGAAAACCAGCUACUAUUUCAGGAUGCAUAUACAACCCGUUAAGCUGGAAAGGUCAAGAUAAGAUCCAAAACAGGCUGUGGCUGUGCAAAGGACACCCUGCUGUUCCCCUAUGCAAGACCUUAUCAAAACCUAGAUCAUACCAACAGACAGCAAGCAAUGCUGUGAAGCAAGUUCAAGGUCCCACCAGGAAAGUCCCCCGGGGCUUGGUUCCAAUAUGGAGGUGAAACCCUGCAUCGUGUGUGAAGUGCUCUCUGAAAUAUUGCUCGGACUUUGGGAAAUUGCAGUUGGAAGGAACAAUGUGAGAGAAGCAAUUGGAAGUGGAAGCUGAACAGUGUGAAACACAAUUGCAACUUGAGAUGAAGUUCCUAGUGGAGAUAGAGCAAGGAGGAUACCAGGAGACAGAGCACCAGACGACAGCUAGAUCACACCCAAAGACUUGACUGUCUGCAUGCCACGUGGCAUAAAGAUCAGAUUCAAUUUCAAGAUUACUGAGUCCUUUUGAAACAAGAACAGUUCCUUACGCACCAAUAAGGCCGCCAGCUCAGACACCCUCCUUGCAGAAGUUAUUACCAUGAGGAAAAGAACCUUAAAGGACAUCAGCUUCAACGGAACUGACCAUAGAAGCUCAAAGGGGGUCCUUGUGAGGGCAUUUAGCAUGUUAGAAGCUCCUCAUAGAAAACAGCUAAUGUGGGGAUGCAAGACCGAGGACCCUGGUAUCAAAAUGUUCAGGGCAGAAGACAGAGCCCAAGUUUGGUGCCUCAAAGUGUUAGGACAUAGUCCCAUCUUGAGGCCCGACUGGAGAAAGGCCAAGACCUCCGAUAUUCCUGCUGAAGAAGGUUGGACAUGGUUCUUACACCCCCAAGUGCAGAAGGCCGACCAAGUAACUUGACAAAUGUGAGACGUGGAAAGACGCCUUGAAGCUAGAAUCAGGUCCUGAGCUUUUCUCGAGUAACCUCUGUCUACUAAUGUUCUGUGUGCAACUUCCACACGUGUAGAUGUAACCAUACUGGACCUGGAUGAAACAGCAGACCCUAUGAUAAGAGAUCUACUCGCAGAGGGAGACACCAGGGAGGAAGAACAAACAGGGACAGGAGGUCCGAGAACCAAGGACAUCACAGCCAGUAUGGAGCCACCAGGAUGAUCACCGACCCUUCUGCCAGAAGCUUCUUGUUGAGAGCCCUGAGGAUCACAACAGGUGGAAACGCGUAAAGCAGCCCAGGAGGCCAAGCUGAUGUGAGCACAUCUAUCUGUUCUGCCUGGUAACAACGGUAUCUCAUGUAGAAUCUGGGAAGUUGAACACUGAGAGGGGACACAAAGAGGUCCAACUGGACUUCCCAUCACGUCUACAAUCUGGGUGAAGACCUCUGGAUUCAGAGCCCAUGUUGCAGGGUCUAUCCAUUGUCGACUCAGCCAAUUGAAGGUUUGCUGAACCACUCAGGUGUUCAGCUGAGACUGAAAGUAGAUUGUCCUCUGCCCAAACAAACAGUGAGUUGGUCUCCUUCAUCAGGACACACAAUCUCAUGCCCCAGUGAUGUGACUUGGCUGUGACAUGUGAACUUGGCUGUCACGUUGUUGGUCCUGAUCAUGACGUGUUUCCGCUGGAGAAGAUCUUGAAAUUGAAACAAGGUUAGACGGAUGGCCUUCAGCUCCAGCCAAUGAAUAUUGUACUUCAAAUCCUCCUAAUUCCAAACCUCCUUCGUGUGCUGUCCUAAGCAAUGGCCUCCCCAGUCAGAGAGACUUGUGUCAGGAGUGACCACCACCUUGCUUGAACUUUCGAGAGGAAGACCCUCCUCCAUGGCUGGAGAUAACCACCAGAGGAAGGAUUCCUUGACCCUGCAAGGGAGUCAAACCAUCAUAUGUCUCUUCUUCUUGAUGGCUGUUUGGAAUGGCAGGAUGACCCAUUGGAGUGGUCUGGAGUGCCACCUUGUCCAUGGGAUGCACUCCAAACAGACAAUCAUCGACCCCAUGAGUUGUGCUGGGAUCAUGAGGCCCACUCUGUGCUUGCUCAAUAAAGGUUUG